rnacentral:lncRNA from 1 species
UGUUACUUACAUUUUUUAUUUAAUAUAUGUUGAACAUUUAUUAAUUAGAAAAUAAUACACGGUCACUGUAAAAGUUUUAAAUAAUAGAGAAAUAGAAUAAAAAGCCCCAAAUCCUUCAAUUUUAUUUUCUUCUCCUUGUUCAACACUUCCACCUUUCAUUCUCCCACUCCAUAGUCACGUACUCUUUCCAGUGUGAACUACUGUUUGUUUCAUACGCUUCUGGACUUCCUUCUAUCAAUUUACACGCACAUACACACACACACACCAUUUUUAACUUAAGUGAGAUGUCAUGAAAUUACACAAAUAUAUUCAACAAUCUUUUUUCACUUAAUAUUAGAGGCAUUAUUUCAUGUUGGUAUAUAUAUAUAAAUAUCUACAUCAGUUUUUAAAAUGCUGCAGCGUGUUUCAUGCCAUGAAUCUGCCGUAACUUCUUUAAGGAUUCACCUCCUGAAUCUAUAUGCUAUUCCAUGUGCUUAAUAUGAAACAAUAACGGAGUAAACCUUCACUCAUAACUUUUCACGCAUCAAUACUUUUGUAGGAAAGAUUGUUGGAGUCAAAAUUACUGGGUCAAAUUACCAAUUAUAUGCCCACUGGCACAUAUCCACAUGUCUAUCUGUGCACACUCCUCCCAAACUGGAUAUAACUAAUCUCUUCACUCCUGCUACUCUGGCUCGCAAAAACACCCGGUUUAACUUGUAUUUCCCUGAUGGAUAAUAAAGUGGCACAUCUUCCUCAUAUAUUUUUUGGCCACUGUGUUUCAUUUAUGAGCUGCAUGUAUUUAUCCUUUGCUUAUUGAUUUUUUUUUUGGAAGAUUAGCCCUGAGCUAACAUCUGCGCCAAUCCUCCUCUUUUUGCUGAGGAAGACUGGCCCUGAGCUAACAUCCGCACCCAUCUUUUUCCACUUUAUACGUGGGAUGCCUGCCACAGCAUGCCAGCGGACCCCGGGCUGCCAAAGCGGAAUGUGUGAACUUACCCGCUGCACCACCAGGCUGGCCCCCUAUCCUUUGCUUAUUUUCCUUUGCUUUUUUAAAUCUCAAAUUUAAAACAGUCAAGUUUCAAAAUUCAAAAGGUAGAAAGGGAUAUACAAUGAAGUCUCACUCCCACCCGUCUCCUAGCCACUCAUUCCCCUUCUCAGAGGUAGCCAAAGAAAGAGACUAGCUUUUAUAGUUUCAGUUUUUAUAGUACAGUGCAUAUAGAAGGAAACGCAUAUAUAAGGAAAAUGUACACAUAUCUUCUCUUUUUACCCAAACGAUAGCAUGCUCUCCAGUGUUUACCCUGUUUUUACUUUUUUUAAAACAUAUUUGGAGCUUAUUUCUUCUCAGUAAAAAGAAAGCUGCCUCAUUCUUUUUGAUGGUGUUAUUUAACCAAUCCUCCACGGAUGGACAUUGAAUUUGCAUUCCGAUUUGGGCUAUUACAAAGAAUCAUGUAAUUAAUGCUUUAGCAUAAGUGGGAAUAUAUCCCUAGGAUAAAUUCCUGGAAGUGGAAUUGCUGGGUCAAAGCACAUACCCGUUGGUGAUUUUGACAGAUGUUUCUAAAUUUGCCUUCCACAGGGGUCACCAAUUUACAUGUCCCAAUAGGACACACGAGAGAGUGCUGGUUUACACAAAUCCUUGCUCACAGGGAGUAGCAACACUUCCACAUAUCUGGUUUGCUAUCUCACUGUAGGUCAACUGGCAUCUCUCUUACUAUGACUGAGGUUUAUCAUCUCAAAGGCCUAUGAAGCAUUUGCAUUUCCUUUCCUGUGAACUCUGUCCAUAUAUUUGGCCCUUUUGCUGGCAGUUUGUUCUUUUUCUUAGGAUUUGUAGGAACAUUUAUAUUAGAGAAUUCUGCUCUUGUCUGUGUAAGGGAAAACAUACUUCCUCCUGUUUCUUCUCUACUCUCAAUUCUCUACUACAACACUACUUCACUUCUGGCAUCAGAUGUGUGGGUUUUCCACACGUACAACAAUUCUGCAACAUCAAGUGGGUGUCCUACAAUUUAACUCAAUUCUGAAACCAUCUACCUGGAGAUAGUGUCAGAUCCCACAGGUUAAGGGUUCAGUCCUACAAGACUGCCACCCUCACCCACACACACAUUUCUGAAGCCAACUGCAAGUCCUGUUUGCUACCUGUGAUUCCCAGGACCCCUUCCUUGGGUUCGAUUAAUUUCCUAGAGCGGCUCACAGAACUCAGGAAAACGUUUUACUUACUAAAUUACCAGUUUAUUAUAAAGGGAUGUAACAGGAACAGCCAGAUGGAAGAGAAGCAUAAGGCAAGGUAUGGGGAAGGGAUGCAGAGCUUCCAUGCCUCCUCUGGGCACGCCAGCCUCUCUCCAUCUCCAGAUGUUCACCAGGAACACCUGGAGGCUCUCCAAACCCCAUCCUUUGGGGUUUCUAUGGAGGCUUCAUCACACAGGCAUGACUGAUUGGACCACUGUCCAUGGCUAACUGCUUCAACCUCCAGCCUCCUCCUCUCUCCCCUCCCUGGGGAUGGUGGAAGAGGGGCUGUAAGUUCCAACACUCUCAUCGUAUGGCUGGUUCUCCUGGCAACCAACCCCAUCCUUAAGGACUUUUCCAAAAGUCACCUCAUUAACAGAAACUCGAGUGUGGUUGAAAGGGGCUUACUAUGAACAACUCUCCUUUUGGUGUUAUGGCUCUGGAGCUAUUUCAGGAAUUGAUGACAAAAGACCAAACAUUACAUCAAAAGAUGCUCCCAUUGCUCGUAUCACUUAGGAAAUUCCAAGGGUUUUAGGAGCUCUGUGCCAAAUACAUAUUUAUUAUAAAUCACAAUAUCACAGUCUGUGAAAUGAAUUGUAAAUAUUUUUUACCCAGUUCCUUAUUUGUUUUAUAACUUUUGUCUUGUUCAUCUUAUAACUGUGUUUGCCAAGGGGAAAUUUUGAUUUUUAUGUAGUUAAAUAUACCAGGCUUUUCAUUUAUGGCUUCUGUGCAAUCUUAGAAAGAGUUCCCUCACUGAAAUGAUUUUAAAAACCUCUCCUAUUGUUUAUUCUAAUACUUUAAUAGUCUCAUUUUAAACAGUGAAAUCUUUGAAUCAGCUAGGGUUUAGGAGAGAUGCACUGUCAGGGAGAGAUAUAACCUAAGUUUUUUCCCCUUGAUGCUGUGCCCAGUUGUCUUAAGACCAUUUACGGAAUGAGCUAACUUUUCUGUGAUUUGAAAUGUCACCUUUUUUAUACCAAAUUCCUAUAUAUAGUUUGGUUUAUUUCUGUAUUUCCUAUUUUGUUUCAUUGAGCUGAUUAUUCAUGAACAUUAUCUCACUGUUUUAAUUAUUACUGUUAUUACAAUAUGCCUAACACCUUAUAGCAUUAGUCCUUUCAUAGGUCGAUUAACUGAGGGAGAACCGCCAGCUUUGUGAUGUAAGUUUCUAGUCGAGGACAUGUCAAGCCUUUUUAAGUCUUCUUUCGCAUCCUUCAGUAGUGUUUUUAACUUUUCUUCAGAAAGAUCUGGGUAUUUCAUCUUUUUUGUUGUUAUAAAUGAGGCCUUUUCUUCAAUUGUAUCUUCUAACUGGCAGUGGUUUGUAUUAAGCAACGGAUUUUUAUAUACUAACUUUGCACCCAGCCACCUCACUGAAUUCUCUUAUUUCUGUAUUUUUUGUAAGAGUUUUUCCAGUAGGUUCCUCUGGAGUUAUUUGUGGACUCAAUCAUAUUAUCUGCAAAUAACAAUAACUCUGUCAUUCCCUUGUCAAUCUAGAUAGCUCCACAUUCUUUUUCUAAUGCUUUGUUGGAACCUCCAGAACAGUCAGGGGGGACACACACAUCUUGUUCCCGAUGUUAAUGGGAACAUGUCUGAUGUUUCCUACUAACUGUGUUUUCUGUUGCAUUCUUUCUUUUGAAAAGAAAUUCUUACAUAUGAAUGCUUGACUCUGAUAUUCGAAAUAUUCUCCCAUACUAUUAGGCUUAGUCUUAAUUUUGUAUAUGGUACUGAACAUCUAUGUCAGUAUAUAGAGACACACAUUCUUUUUUUUAUUUUUAAAGAUUGGCACCUGAGCUAACAACUGUUGCCAAUCUUCUUUU